rnacentral:rRNA from 1 species
UACAGAGGUCCCGAGCGUUGUUCGGAUUCAUUGGGCGUAAAGGGUGCGUAGGCGGUCUGCUAAGUUUGAUAUGAAAUCCCGGGGCUCAACCCUGGAAUUGCAUUGAAUACUGGUGGACUAGAGUACUGGAGAGGAAACUGGAAUUUACGGUGUAGCAGUGAAAUGCGUAGAGAUCGUAAGGAAGACCAGUGGCGAAGGCGAGUUUCUGGACAGUAACUGACGCUGAGGCACGAAGGCCAGGGGAGCAAACGGG